rnacentral:rRNA from 1 species
AUUGAACGCUGGCGGCAGGCCUAACACAUGCAAGUCGAGCAGAUGAAGGGAGCUUGCUCCUGGAUUCAGCGGCGGACGGGUGAGUAAUGCCUAGGAAUCUGCCUGGUAGUGGGGGAUAACGUCCGGAAACGGGCGCUAAUACCGCAUACGUCCUGAGGGAGAAAGUGGGGGAUCUUCGGACCUCACGCUAUCAGAUGAGCCUAGGUCGGAUUAGCUAGUUGGUGGGGUAAAGGCCUACCAAGGCGACGAUCCGUAACUGGUCUGAGAGGAUGAUCAGUCACACUGGAACUGAGACACGGUCCAGACUCCUACGGGAGGCAGCAGUGGGGAAUAUUGGACAAAGGGCGAAAGCCUGAUCCAGCCAUGCCGCGUGUGUGAAGAAGGUCUUCGGAUUGUAAAGCACUUUAAGUUGGGAGGAAGGGCAGUAAGUUAAUACCUUGCUGUUUUGACGUUACCAACAGAAUAAGCACCGGCUAACUUCGUG